rnacentral:rRNA from 1 species
CCUACGGGGUGCAGCAGUGAGGAAUAUUGGUCAAUGGACGAGAGUCUGAACCAGCCAAGUAGCGUAAAGGAUGACUGCCCUAUGGGUUGUAAACUUCUUUUAUAUGGGAAUAAAAUGUUCCACGUGUGGGAUUUUGUAUGUACCAUAUGAAUAAGGAUCGGCUAACUCCGUGCCAGCAGCCGCGGUAAUACGGAGGAUCCGAGCGUUAUCCGGAUUUAUUGGGUUUAAAGGGAGCGUAGGUGGAUUGUUAAGUCAGUUGUGAAAGUUUGCGGCUCAACCGUAAAAUUGCAGUUGAAACUGGCAGUCUUGAGUACAGUAGAGGUGGGCGGAAUUCGUGGUGUAGCGGUGAAAUGCUUAGAUAUCACGAAGAACUCCGAUUGCGAAGGCAGUUCACUGGACUGCAACUGACACUGAGGCUCGAAAGUGUGGGUAUCAAACAGGAUUAGAUACCCGGGUAGUC